GGUUAAGCUAAUAAGUGCGCACGGAGGAUGCCUAGGCGCCAGGAGCCGAUGAAGGACGCGACGAACAGCGAUAUGCUUCGGGGAGCUGUAAGUGAGCUUUGAUCCGGAGAUUUCCGAAUGGGGAAACCCAGCUAUCGUAAUGGAUAGUUACCUUCGAGUGAAUACAUAGCUCGUCGGAGGCAUACCAGGGGAACUGAAACAUCUAAGUACCCUGAGGAAGAGAAAACAACAGUGAUUCCGUCAGUAGCGGCGAGCGAAAGCGGAUUAGCCCAAACCAGAGGGCUUGCUCUCUGGGGUUGUAGGACGUCUCACAUGGAGUGAUAAAAGAGCAUAUUAGGCGAAGAGGUCUGGAAAGGCCUGCCACAGAAGGUAAAAGCCCUGUAGCCGAAAGUGUGUUCUCUCCGAGACGGAUCCUGAGUACCGCGGGACACGUGAAACCCCGUGGGAAUCCGGCAGGACCAUCUGCCAAGGCUAAAUACUCCCUGGCGACCGAUAGCGAAGCAGUACCGUGAGGGAAAGGUGAAAAGCACCGCGGGAGCGGAGUGAAAGAGAACCUGAAACCGUGCGCUUACAAGAAGUCAGAGCCCGAUCUAGGGGUGAUGGCGUGCCUUUUGUAGAAUGAACCGGCGAGUUACGUUCACGUGCAAGGUUAAGCUGAUGAGGCGGAGCCGAAGGGAAACCGAGUCUGAAUAGGGCGCUUAAGUACGUGGUCGUAGACCCGAAACCGUGUGAUCUACCCCUGUGCAGGGUGAAGGUGCGGUAACACGCACUGGAGGCCCGAACUCGUGAGCGUUGAAAAGCUCUGGGAUGACGUGGGGGUAGGGGAGAAAUUCCAAUCGAACUCGGAGAUAGCUGGUUCUCCCCGAAAUAGCUUUAGGGCUAGCCUCGAGGUUGAGCAUCAUGGAGGUAGAGCACUGAUUGGGUGCGGGGCCCGCCAAGGGUUACCAAGUCCAGUCAAACUCCGAAUGCCAUGGAUGUAUACUCGGGAGUCAGACGGCGAGUGCUAAGAUCCGUCGUCAAGAGGGAAAGAGCCCAGAUCAUCAGCUAAGGUCCCCAAGUGUGUGUUAAGUGGGAAAGGAUGUGGAGUUGCGAAGACAACCAGGAUGUUGGCUUAGAAGCAGCCACCAUUUAAAGAGUGCGUAAUAGCUCACUGGUCGAGUGACUCUGCGCCGAAAAUGUAACGGGGCUAAACACACCACCGAAGCUAUGGCAUGCUUGGGUAGGGGAGCGUUGAAUGCGGGUAGAAGUCAGACCGGAAGGACUGGUGGACUGCAUUCAAGUGAGAAUGCCGGUAUGAGUAACGAAAAGACAGGUGAGAAUCCUGUCCGCCGAAAGCCUAAGGGUUCCUGGGGUAGGUUCGUCCGCCCAGGGUAAGUCGGGACCUAAGGCGAGGCCGAAAGGCGUAGUCGAUGGACAACAGGUUGAAAUUCCUGUACCACCGUAAUCCGUUAUGAGCGAUGGGGGGACGCAGGAGGGAAGCGACGCGAGCCGAUGGAUGUGCUCGUCCAAGCAGUGAGAGGGGUAUGUAGGCAAAUCCGCAUACUGUAACCUUGAGCUGUGAUGGGGAGGGAAAAUCACAGUACCGAAGGUCGUACACCCACGCUGCCAAGAAAAGCCUCUAGCCAGGAGAAGGUGCCCGUACCGUAAACCGACACAGGUGGGCGAGAUGAGAAUUCUAAGGCGCGCGGAAGAACUCUCGUUAAGGAACUCGGCAAAAUGACCCCGUAACUUCGGGAGAAGGGGUGCCUCGGUAGGGUGAAUAGCCCGAGGGGGCCGCAGUGAAGAGGCCCAAGCGACUGUUUAGCAAAAACACAGGUCUGUGCGAAGCCGUAAGGCGAAGUAUACGGGCUGACGCCUGCCCGGUGCUGGAAGGUUAAGGGGAGUGGUUAGGGGCAACCCGAAGCUGUGAACCGAAGCCCCAGUAAACGGCGGCCGUAACUAUAACGGUCCUAAGGUAGCGAAAUUCCUUGUCAGGUAAAUUCUGACCCGCACGAAUGGCGUAACGACUUGGGCGCUGUCUCAACGAGAGAUCCGGUGAAAUUUUAGUACCUGUGAAGAUGCAGGUUACCCGCGACGUGACGGAAAGACCCCAUGGAGCUUUACUGUAGCUUGAUAUUGAACUUUGGUACGGUCUGUACAGGAUAGGUGGGAGCCGAUGAAGCUGGGGCGCAAGCCUCAGUGGAGGCGCCGUUGGGAUACCACCCUGAUCGUAUCGGAGUUCUAACCUGCUGCCCUGAAUCGGGCAGAGGGACCGUGUCAGGCGGACAGUUUGACUGGGGCGGUCGCCUCCUAAAAAGUAACGGAGGCGCUCUAAGGUUCCCUCAGCGCGGUUGGAAAUCGCGCGAAGAGUGCAAAGGCAUAAGGGAGCUUGACUGCGAGACCUACAAGUCGAGCAGGGAGGAAACUCGGACUUAGUGAUCCGGUGGUACCGAAUGGAAGGGCCAUCGCUCAACGGAUAAAAGCUACCCUGGGGAUAACAGGCUUAUCUCCCCCAAGAGUCCACAUCGACGGGGAGGUUUGGCACCUCGAUGUCGGCUCAUCGCAUCCUGGGGCUGAAGUAGGUCCCAAGGGUUGGGCUGUUCGCCCAUUAAAGCGGUACGCGAGCUGGGUUCAGAACGUCGUGAGACAGUUCGGUCCCUAUCUGUCGCGGGCGUAGGAAAUUUGAGAGGGGCUGUCCUUAGUACGAGAGGACCGGGAUGGACGCACCGCUGGUGUACCAGUUGUUCCGCCAGGAGCAUCGCUGGGUAGCCAAGUGCGGAAGGGAUAAGCGCUGAAAGCAUCUAAGCGCGAAGCCUGCCUCAAGAUGAGAUUUCCCAAUUCGUAAGACCCCUGGAAGAACACCAGGUUGAUAGGCUCGGGGUGGAAGCGCAGCAAUGUGUGGAGCUGACGAGUACUAAUCGGUCGAGGGCUUAUCCUA
rnacentral:rRNA from 1 species